ensembl:lncRNA
GGGGAACUAGGUUUUAGCAAUUGAAAAACAUAAAUGACUUUAAUUAUACAGAAAGAACGAGGAUUGUUUUCCUAGAAUGCAUCGGAAUGAGUAGAAACAGUAAUUGAGCAAAUGAAUUCCGAUAGAGGCAUAAUUGAUACUUGAAAACUCAAAUAAUAAUCUACAUUACUUCAACUGCGAUAACUUACAGGAGGGAAUUCUUAACAAUGCUUUCUAACAGUCAAUCUUGGUCAGGUUCUCAUCCUUCCAAAUAAAUCUCUUUGGAGUUAAAGCUAUAUUUUGGAAAUUAAUGACUUCUUCCAUGUGAGGCUAUCCUCAGAAGCCGACCAAAUUCUGAUAAAUCUAUAAAGCAAACUACGUUCUUUUCACUGGGAUCUGGAAGAGGAUGACAUUUAUGUAAUGGAUGAGUUUUGUGCCGUCCCCAGGAAAAUAAUCUCGUAUUUUACUAAGCUAUAGUCUGCAGAAAAAUUGCUGCUUUCGUACGCUUAAUAAAGACUCACUGAAACAUCGCACAGAAAUCCCUGAGGAUCAUCUCUGCAGUGAGCCCUGCUGGAAGUCUGAGGAGGGAAUGGUGAUGUGCCUGGGCAGCAGAAGAGCAGCACCAAGCCCUGCUCCUCCAGCUGAUGUCCUGAAGGCAAAUGGACAGGGAAGGAGGGGUUGAGACCCUUCAAGAAGGAUGUGAGAGGGAUUUAGUGAAGUGACUGUGUGGGACCAGUGGGAACUGGGAAGAGCCUUUGGAGAUCCCUGGUGAGGGCUGGGUUUGGCUGACAGUUCAGGCAGCCAUGAAUUCAUGGUGAUGGAGGAGCCUUUGCUUUCCAAGGAUUAUCGCUGUCUGCCUUAAAGCCUUCAAGUCCUGGCCCAGAGAGCCCCAGGGUGGGAGAUGCUGCACAGCACAAGCCAAAAGGUCUGCAUUUACCCCUGAAAUAUUUGCCAUCAAAGGUUCAGAAUGCAUCCACUCAUCUUCCAGACCUCUGGAUGACCAUCCAUCAUGACCGUCGUCUCCAUCCUUGUCUUAUGACACAGCUUGCCAGAAAAGCUGGCAGCCCUUCCAUGGCCAACAGGAUGACCUUGUGGUGCUCAUAGGACAGGGCAUGGGACAGCUCAGCCUUUUGCUCCCAGUCCUUCAGAAAUCCUG